GACGAACCGUGCGAACGUUGUUCGGAAUCACUGGGCUUAAAGGGCGCGUAGGCGGGUUGGCAAGUCAGGGGUGAAAUCUUUCAGCUUAACUGGAAAACAGCCCCUGAUACUGCGAGUCUCGAGGGAGGUAGGGGCAUGUGGAACUCCCGGUGGAGCGGUGAAAUGCGUAGAUAUCGGAAGGAACGCCGGUGGCGAAAGCGACGUGCUGGGCCUCUUCUGACGCUGAGGCGCGAAAGCUAGGGGAGCAAACGGG
rnacentral:rRNA from 1 species